rnacentral:lncRNA from 1 species
CCUUUUUUUAAACUGUGAGUACACUAGUUCAGUCCUAAGCAUGACCACAGAAUUUCUAAACAACACAACCUGGAAAGUCCUAACUACAUAAGAAUACGUGAUGAUAUCGAAACCUGCCAAAAAAUAUUAGAAAUUCGACAAACUAACGUAAUACAAACUUUGCAUUAUCUUUUAUGAUAUUCGACAAACUAACCAUCCUCUAUUCCUUUUUUAAAGUUUGGAUCAAAGCAGAGUAGCAUACUUAAAAUUUAAAGUUAACAAAAUCAACCAAUGAUUCUUUAGUAAUCCAAUCAUCAAUAAAAUUGUAAAAAUAAUUUCAAUAAUUUGAUCAUAUCAUAAGAGAAACAGGGGAAGUACUUUUUUCUAAUCCAUUUUCUUCAACUAAAUAGUGCCUAGAAAAAUACCAUAUGCUAUUUAGUAGUUUUCUUUUUUUGGGUUCUUCACAAUAACAGUAUAACGUUUCUAUAUGUUUCUAUAACAACAUAACACCCCCAAUAAAUCCUUCAAACAUAUCACAAUACCCAAACAUUGCGUGAAUAACCAACCAACCAUCCAAAAAUCUCAUUUACCCAACACAACAACUCAAACGUACAACAUGCUCUUAUGUAUUCUUAAGCACCAACAUGAAAUAUACAUACCUUCUUUAGAAGUCGACGAACGGAUUCGGGGAGAAGAUCGUUCGACGAUGACCGCAAAAAAACAAACUCCACUCUCGCACGUCUAAAACCACACAACUAACUCCGAACACACUGUCAACAGUCGCCUGCAACCGCACAACACUCCUCCUCUACCGUCGCCUACAAUGCCUCUCCAACUACACGCCUCUUCAACAAAAAAAGACCAAGUUCCUCUCAACCCAGACCCAAUGGCAAGGUAACAUUGCUAUUAAUACUGUUUACCUCGGGAUAAACAACAGGUAAAUUAAUGAGUAUAGACUAGCUACUAGAAUGGAGAGAGAGAAAUAGAUAAUAAGGAUCGACUGUAACGGCCACCUCAUCGGCCUUGCGUCAUCAGUGGUGAACCUGAUGUGAACCGAAUACGCGAUUUUCUGAUGACGAGCGGAAGAAAAGCUACUCAGAAUUCCACAAUUCGGAAGGAAAUGAAAUCGCAAAGGAGUGAGGGAAGCUCCGAACGGCGGAAAACUCCCAUCCCCGUAGUAGGAGAGAUUGGGGCGGAACCCGCUAGAUCAGCGUUGUUGCAGAGAGGGAGGCAUCGGGGGUAUUACGCCAACGCUCGAAGCCACCUCUAUGAAAGAUCCCGAUCUCCCAUCAUCAGGAGAGAUCGGAGAAGGUAGGUCACAUUGGGGGAGGUCACCCGUGGAGGAAUCCUCGGGAGAGACGAAUGGACUCGGGCCCACCGAUCGGGAAGACUUGGCAAAAGGACCCCGACCGAGGAAUCGUCGGAAGGGUGUAGGGACCGAAUCUCCCACCGGGAGCGGGAGGACCGAGCCUCGGCCAACGAAGUCACAUAACAGCUACUUUUGGCGAUCACUGACCUCCAAGAAAACCAGAAACAACUGCAAGAGAAAAUAUCCCGAAUGAUAGAGGGUAGGGAGCCCAGGAGCGAAUUCCCUGGUACCACACCUAGUGGAGGAAGCCCACCCGAUGGGAUGGAAGGCACCCCACCUGACGAUGUACAAUGGGACUACGGACCUGGAGGACCAUCUGAAGAGACAUAUGGUGCCGCAUGUUUUAGAAAACAUUGUUGGGCCACACGAUCGGGUGGUACCGAGGUCUUCCCCUGCACAACAUACAAGCAUUCGAGGACCUCGAGAGGUUGUUCCGUAUAGCCUUCGACUUCCACACUCGACGAAAGAAGUGGGUAGCAACCCUACUGGCAGUAUUGCAGGGGGACGGCAAAACCCUUAGGGACUACAUGAAUUGGUUCACCACGGCGCUCCAGGACCUAGAGGAAGCAUAGGAACCGACCAUAAUGAUGGCCCUAUUAAAUGGCCUGAGAGGAAUACGUUUUGCAGUCGAACUCAUCGAAAACAAGGUCAAGACAUUUUUCGAGGCCAUGUACCGGGCCCAGGGAGCCAUGAAUAUAGAAGAAUACCUUGCCCCGAAAUUCAAACAAGCAUUACAUCAACAUAAGGGGAAGGUCAGAGGACAAAACCUUGAGCAGCGUAAGGAGGCAAGAGCAACCUCCUACGAGGUACUACGCCAACCUAAGGCACCUAAACCCCAGAGUAAAAAAAGGCUCCGUAUACAACUCCCCGGAAACCAGAAGAAUCCGUUCAAAACCAGAGGGAGGUCUUCCUAGUAUUAAAAGGAGCAGGCACACUCCCCAAGGUAUAACCAAUGAGGAUCGAGUAUGCGACGUAUCGUAAAAAUGAGAAAUACUACGAAUACCAUGAGGAGUUAGGACACACCAUAGCGGAAUGCAGAAGCCUGGCGAGAACUAUCGAUCAGACAAAGGCUCCUGAAGGAGCACCCGCCCGACCCCGGCUCUAAGAACGGUCGUUAUACCAACCAACCAUAGAACCCCGAAGGUGGAGCCAGACGAGCUGAAGGUGAAGCUGGACGAGCCGAAGAUGGAGGAUAUAUUCGCUAUAUCGGGAGGGGAUACCUCCUGGGCCCAAAACCCUACGGAGGCCCACCGUUACACCAUGGACCCGACAAGGGCAGCCCUGGGAAAGAAGAGGAAGCUUGCGGAGGAGAUAUCUUUCACGGAUAUAGACCUGGUGGACAUAACAACAUCUCACCAUGACCCACUGGUUAUCAUACUAAUGUUCAAAAGAAGAAACGACGACCAGGUCAAGUUAUACUUCACGCGUUCAAUUUGUGUGAGUCCCGACCAAGAAAUGCACUAGAGUGCUAUCCGUGGGAGGCCCGACCAAGGAAUGCACUCUAGUGCGAUCCCGACCAAGUACUUCACGCGUGCAAUUCGUGUGAGUCCCGACCAAGGAAUGCACUUUAGUGUGAUUAGUGGGAAUCCCGACCAAGAAAUGCCCUCUAGUGUGAUCCCGACCAAGGAAUGUACUCUAGUCCGAUCCCGAAUAAGUACUUCGCGAGUGCAAUUCGUGUGAGUUCCGACCAAGGAAUGCACUCUAGUGCUAUCCGUGGGAGGCACGAACAAGGAAUGCACUCUAGAUCGAUCCUUGGGAGACCCGACAAAGUAAUGCACUCCAGCGCGAUCCCGACCAAGGAAUGCACUUUAUUCAAAUCCCGAAUAAGUACUUCGCGUGUGCAAUUUGUGCGAGUCUCGAACAAGGAAUGCACUCUAGAGCGAUCCCGAAUAAGUAAUUCACGCGUGCAAUUCGUGUGAGUCUCGACCAAGGAAUGCAAUCUAGUGCGAUCCCGAACAAGGAAUGCACUCUAGUUCGAUCUCGCACAAGGAAUGCACUCUAGUCCGAUCUCGAACAAGGAAUGCACUCUAGUCCGAUCCCGAAUAAGUACUUCGCGCGUGCAAUUCGUGUGAGUCCUGACCAAGCAAUGCACUCUAGUGCGAUCCCGAAUAAAUACUUCACGCGUGCAAUUCGUGUGAGUCCCGACAAAGGAAUGCACUCUAGUGCGAUCUCGACCAAGGAAUGCACUCUAGUGCGAUCCCGACCAAGCACUUCACACGUGCAAUUCGUGUGAGUCCCGACCAAGGAAUGCACUCUAUCGCUAUCCGUGUGAGUUCAAAAUGAAAGAAUGCACUCUAGUGCGAUCCUUGGGAGGCCCGACCAAGGAAUGCACUCUAGUGCGAUCCCGACCAAGCACUUCACACGUGCAAUUCGUGUGAGUCCCGACCAAGGAAUGCACUCUAUUGCUAUCCGUGUGAGUCCAAAUCAAAGAAUGCACUCUAGUGCGAUCCUUGGGAGGCCCGACCAAGGAAUGCACUCUAGUGCGAUCCUGACCAAGUACUUCACGCGUGCAAUUCAUGUGAGUGCAGACCAAGGAAUGCACUCUAUUGCUAUCCGUGUGAGUUCAAAAUGAUAGAAUGCACUCUAGUGCGAUCCUUGGGAGGCCCGACCAAGGAAUGCACUCUAUUGCGAUCCCGACCAAGCACUUCACGCGUGCAAUUCGUGUGAGUCCCGACCAAGGAAUGCACUCUAUUGCUAUCCGUGUGAGUCCCAAUCAAGGAAUGCACUCUAGUGCGAUCCUUGGGAGGCUCGACUAAGGAAUGGACUCUAGUGCGAACACGACCAAGUACUUCACGCGUGCAAUUCAUGUGAGUCCCGACGAAGGAAUGCACUCUAGUGCUUUCCGUGCGAGGCCCGAACAAGGAAUGCACUCUAGUGCGAUCCCGACCAAGGAAUGAAUUCUAGUGCGGUCCCGACCAAGGAAUGAAUUCUAGUGCGGUCCUGACCAAGUACUUCACGCGUGCAAUUCGUGUGAGUCCCGACCAAAGAAUGCACUCUAGUGUGAUUAGUGGGAAUCCCGACCAAGAAAUGCCCUCUAGUGCGAUCCCGACCAAGGAAUGCACUCUAGUCCGAUCCCGAAUAAGUACUUCGCGAGUGCAGUUCGUGUGAGUCCCGACCAAGGAAAGCACUCUAGUGCUAUCCGUGGGAGGCACGAACAAGGAAUGCACUCUAGAUCGAUCCUUGGGAGAGCCAACAAAGGAAUGCACUCCAGUGCGAUCCCGAACAAGGAAUGCACUCUAUUAAAAUCCCGAAUAAGUACUUCGCGCGUGCAAUUUGUGCGAGUCUCGAAAAAGGAAUGCACUCUAGAGCGAUCCCGAAUAAGUAAUUCACGCGUGCAAUUCGUGUGAGUCUCGACCAAGGAAUGCAAUCUAGUGCGAUCCCGACCAAGUAAUGCACUCUAAUGCGAUCCCGACCAAGUACUUCACGCGUGCAAUUCGUGUGAGUCCCAACCAAGGAAUGCACUCUAGUGCGAUCAGUGGGAGUCCCGACUAAGAAAUGCACUCAUGUAAAAUCCCGAACACGGAAUGCACACUAGUCCGAUCUCGAACAAGGAAUGCACUCUAGUCCGAUAUCGAACAAGGAAUGCACUCUAGUCCGAUCUCGAACAAGGAAUGCACUCUAGUCCGAUCCCGAAUAAGUACUUCGCGCGUGCAAUUCGUGUGAGUCCCGACCAAGCAAUGCACUCUAGUGCGAUCCCGACUAAAUACUUCACGCGUGCAAUUCGUGUGAGUCCCGACAAUGGAAUGCACUCUAGUACGAUCUCGACCAAGGAAUGCACUCUAGUGCGAUCCUGACCAAGUACUUCACGCGUGCAAUUCGUGUGAGUGCAGACCAAGGAAUGCACUCUAUUGCUAUCCGUGUGAGUCCAAAUCAAAAAAUGCACUCUAGUGCGAUCCUUGGGAGGCCUGACCAAGGAAUGCACUCUAGUGCGAUCCCGACCAAGCACUUCACACGUGCAAUUCGUGUGAGUCCCGACCAAGGAAUGCACUCUAUUGCUAUCCGUGUGAGUCCAAAUCAAAGAAUGCACUCUAGUGCGAUCCUUGGGAGGCCCGACCAAAGAAUGCACUCUAGUGCGAUCCCGACCAAGCACUUCACACGUGGAAUUCGUGUGAGUCCCGACCAAGGAAUGCACUCUAUUGCUAUCCGUGUGAGUCCAAAUCAAGGAAUGCACUCUAGUGCGAUCCUUGGGAGGUUCGACUAAGGAAUGGACUCUAGUGCGAACACGACCAAGUACUUCACGCGUGCAAUUCAUGUGAGUCCCGACGAAGGAAUGCACUCUAGUGCUUUCCGUGCGAGGCCCGAACAAGGAAUGCACUCUAGUGCGAUCCCGACCAAGGAAUGCACUCUAGUCCGAUCCUGAAUAAAUACUUCGCGCGUUCAAUUCGUGUUAGUCCCGACCAAGGAAUGCACUCUAGUGUGAUCCCGAAUAAGUACUUCACGCGUACAAUUCGUGUGAGUCCCGACCAAUGAAUGCACUCUAGUGCGAUCCUGACCAAGUACUUCACGCGUGCAGUUCGUGUGAGUCCCGACCAAGGAAUGCACUCUAGUGCGAUCCCGACCAAGAAAUGCACUCUAGUGCGAUCCCGACCAAGAAAUGCACUCUAGUGCGAUCCCGACCAAGGAAUGCACUCUAGUCCGAUCCCGACGAAGUACUUCACGCGUGCAAUUCGUGUGAGUCCCGAC